GAGUGGGAUGGGCAGUCGCAGGCAGUUUUUAACUGCGUGAGGAAAGUCCGAGCUCCGCAGAGCGGGAUAACGGCUAACGGCCGCCGAGGGCGACCUCAGGGAAAGUGCAACAGAGAUAUACCGCCCGCGUUACGCGGGUAAGGGUGGAAAGGCGAGGUAAGAGCUCACCGGCGCGCGGGGAACCGCGCGGCCCUGCAAACCCUAUCCGGAGCAACAUCGACAGGGGGAGUACGCUUUGCGUGCGGCGCUUGCUCGGCGAUACCCCGAAGGAUGGCUGAAGCCUUGCAGCAAUGUAAGGCGUAGAAAGAUGAUUGCCUUAAAUGACAGAACUCGGCUUACAGUCCCACUCAA
rnacentral:RNase_P_RNA from 1 species